rnacentral:lncRNA from 11 species
CUUCUCUCAUGUCCCUGCAUGGGGAGCUGGAGCCGACAGAGGGAGCUCAUCCACACUCUCCUUGGAUUCGAACUGGCAACCUUCAGUGAGAAAGAAGUGACUGCUGGCUGGAAAUCACUUGAUAAGAUAACCUUGUAAAGGUAACUUUAAAAAAUGAUUUUUCCAAGAGUUAUUUUUGUUUAACCUGAUGCACUGUCAGAUUUGUUUAAUAGGUUUUUUUAAAAAAGGCAUUGCUCCU